AAAGAAAGGAAAAAAAAGUAUCGCUAGCAGCCAGCCCUAGCCGCUCCUGCACGCUUGCCGCCGCUGCCGUCAUCCCGGUUGCCGCCGCCGUGUUUGCGUCGCCGCCACGACCAUAGCCGGAGACCACAGCCGUCGUCAUCCAUCACAACCGGUGUUUUCUUUCCGUUUUCCUUCUUCCCGAGAGAAGGGUACAGAGAGGUUGUACAGGAGGAAGAAGGAAAGGAAAAGGCAGAGCAACGUUGCGGAAUUUCAGCGAUUUCACAAAUUAGGGAAAUUUGUCGCAAGGUGUGGAGGAUUCCAACGUUAGAGGAGUUGAGUUGGAUUAUCGAAGAAGUUAAGGCAAGUACAAGACGGACUUGUGUGAUGGAUAAAGUGUGUUACUUUGUUUGGUUUUAUUUAGCCAAUUAUUAUUCGAAGCUUC